rnacentral:rRNA from 1 species
CCUUCCGUAGGGUGACCUGCGGAAGGAUCAUUACCGAGUGUAGGGUUCCUAGCGAGCCCAACCUCCCACCCGUGUUUACUGUACCUUAGUUGCUUCGGCGGGCCCGCCAUUCAUGGCCGCCGGGGGCUCUCAGCCCCGGGCCCGCGCCCGCCGGAGACACCACGAACUCUGUCUGAUCUAGUGAAGUCUGAGUUGAUUGUAUCGCAAUCAGUUAAAACUUUCAACAAUGGAUCUCUUGGUUCCGGCAUCGAUGAAGAACGCAGCGAAAUGCGAUAACUAGUGUGAAUUGCAGAAUUCCGUGAAUCAUCGAGUCUUUGAACGCACAUUGCGCCCCCUGGUAUUCCGGGGGGCAUGCCUGUCCGAGCGUCAUUGCUGCCCAUCAAGCACGGCUUGUGUGUUGGGUCGUCGUCCCCUCUCCGGGGGGGACGGGCCCCAAAGGCAGCGGCGGCACCGCGUCCGAUCCUCGAGCGUAUGGGGCUUUGUCACCCGCUCUGUAGGCCCGGCCGGCGCUUGCCGAACGCAAAUCAAUCUUUUUCCAGGUUGACCUCGGAUCAGGUACGGGAUACCCGCUGAACUUAAGCAUAUCAAUAAGCGGAGGA